rnacentral:lncRNA from 1 species
GGCCAUGGUGGGCAGCCCGUGGCUUUAUGAGUGAGGACAGCCAGGAGCACCGAACCCCAAUACCCGGAACACUAGCACAGCAACAGUGCCAGGCAGACCCCAAUCUCUCAAUUCCUGGCCCCGCACUUGCGUCAAUAUGGUACCGCAGUGAGACCCUACAUCUGCUCCACCGAGGCUGACCCUGGAACCAGUGCUGGAUCUCUGAUGACUAGGAGGACCCGGUGGUUACCAGGGUCCCACAGCCAGUCUGCAGACCUGCCCAGGCAUGACAGUGUUUCCAUGUCCUCAUCAAAACGAGAGAAAAGACGGCUGGGUGAGGUGGCUCAUACCUGUAAUCCCAGCAUUCUGGGAGGCUUAGGUGGGAAGACAGCUGGAGCCUAGGGGUUCAAGACCAGCCUGGGCAACACAGUGACACUGACCCUGUCACUACCAAAAAAAUAAAUUAGCUGGGUGUGGUGGCGCGUUCCCACAGUCCCAGCUACAUGAGAGGCUUGAGGUGGGAGGAUCAAUUGAGCCCAGGAAAUUGAGGCUUCAGUGAGCCGUGCACUUCAGCCUGGAUGACACAGCAAGACCCUGACUCAAAAACAAGAGAGAAGAGCAAUGGAAUGGGUUCCUCUGGAAACUCAAUUUGAAGAAGGACCCUUUUUCUGACAUGCUCUUCCUCUGCUUUUAGCAUUGAAAUAUACCUUUGGAAAUGUAAAGUGCCUCCACUACAAGGCAAGGAGCUCAUCUGCUUUUUCUUGGAGGUGUCUCCAGUGCCCAGCUCCAUCCCCAGUGCAGACGGGACAGCUUGCUCAGCUUGUGAAGUGAAUGAGGUGUGAAGAGCAGGAUGCACAUACGCAGUGACUGUGCCUGAAGAGGGCAGAGCCGUGGGAGAACACUCGCUCAUCCCAAUGUCUGUGGACCGUGCCAAUAACGGCGGUGAACCCAAUGCAGAUGCCCCUGCUUCCAUGUCCUGAGACAGUCCAGCAAGUCAGGUUCCAUGGCAGGAAGCCAGCACCGCAGUGGGGAGAGGUUAGGGCACUGCAGGGAGGCUUCCCACUGGGCUUCCCCCAAUGAAAGUGGAGAAUGUCCCAAGCAAGAGGACCCGUGCAAAGACCCGAAGAUGAGGGGGGCUGGAAGAUUUGCCAGGGUUUGGCUCACAGAGUAGCAAAGAAAAACAAGGAAAAACUACUUAUGACAAUUAUAUACAUACAGAAGGCUUCACAGGUAAAUCAAAUCUAUCCAUCCAACCUUUUUUUUUUUUUUUAAGAUGGAGUCUCGCCCUGUCGCCCAGGCUGGAGUGCAGUGGCGCAAUCUGGGCUCACUGCAACCUCCGCCUCCCGGGUUCACACCAUUCUCUUGCCUCAGC